rnacentral:rRNA from 1 species
UACGAAGGGUGCAAGCGUUACUCGGAAUCACUGGGCGUAAAGCGCACGUAGGCGGACUCUUAAGUCGGUGGUGAAAUCCUGGAGCUCAACUCCAGAACUGCCUUCGAUACUGGGAGUCUCGAGUCCGGGAGAGGGUAGUGGAAUUCCCGGUGUAGUGGUGAAAUGCGUAGAUAUCGGGAGGAACACCAGUGGCGAAGGCGACUACCUGGCCUGUUCUUGACGCUGAGGCGCGAAAGCUAGGGGAGCAAACGGG